rnacentral:sRNA from 1 species
AGUCCCAGCAGCCAGCUGCUGUAGAAGAGGGGAGGAAACAAGCCAGUGCAAGGGGAGCAAAAGAGAAAAGGAGCCAGGCUGGGCUUCCUGAUCCCACAGCAUCGCAGAGCUCGGGAGGCACAGCUCACAGACACAGGAAACACAGGACUGCUAUUCUGCUCUCCUGCCCACGGUGAUCUGGUGCCAGCUGGUGAACGGUGGGUGAUGGCAUCCCUGCUGCAAGACCAGCUGACCACUGAUCAGGACUUGCUGCUGAUGCAGGAAGGCAUGCCGAUGCGGAAGGUGAGGUCCAAAAGCUGGAAGAAGCUAAGAUACUUCAGACUUCAGAAUGACGGCAUGACAGUCUGGCAUGCACGGCAGGCCAGGGGCAGUGCCAAGCCCAGCUUCUCAAUCUCUGAUGUGGACACAAUACGUAAUGGCCAUGAUUCCGAGUUGCUGCGUAGCCUGGCAGAGGAGCUCCCCCUGGAGCAGGGCUUCACCGUUGUCUUCCAUGGCCGCCGCUCCAACCUGGACCUGGUGGCCAACAGUGUUGAGGAGGCCCAGAUGUGGAUGCGAGGGCUCCAGCUGUUGGUGGAUCUUGUCACCAGCAUGGACCAUCAGGAGCGCCUGGACCAAUGGCUGAGUGACUGGUUUCAACGUGGAGACAAAAAUCAGGAUGGUAAGAUGAGUUUCCAAGAAGUUCAGCGGUUAUUGCACCUAAUGAAUGUGGAGAUGGACCAAGAAUAUGCCUUCAGUCUUUUUCAGGCAGCAGACACGUCCCAGUCUGGAACCCUGGAAGGAGAAGAAUUCGUACAGUUCUAUAAGGCAUUGACUAAACGUGCUGAGGUGCAGGAACUAUUUGAAAGUUUUUCAGCUGAUGGGCAGAAGCUGACUCUGCUGGAAUUUUUGGAUUUCCUCCGAGAGGAGCAGAAGGAGAGAGACUGCACCUCUGAGCUUGCUCUGGAACUCAUUGACCACUAUGAACCUUCAGACAGUGGCAAACUGCGGCAUGUGCUGAGCAUGGAUGGCUUCCUCAGCUACCUCUGCUCUAAGGAUGGAGACAUCUUCAACCCAGCCUGCCUCCCCAUCUAUCAGGAUAUGACUCAACCCCUGAACCACUACUUCAUCUGCUCUUCUCAUAACACCUACCUAGUGGGGGACCAGCUUUGUGGCCAGAGCAGCGUCGAGGGAUAUAUACGGUGCAGUGGUGGUAGAGAAAGGGUCCAACUCAUGAGAGGGACCAUGUAGAAAAGUGAGGGGAGCUGUCAGUGUCUAACAGAUUGGGACAGUGUUGUGGGGGUUUAGGGGCUGAGAAGCCCUGGAUACCAGAGACACUUGGAGGAGAUAUUGAAGACUGGUGGGAGAAUGGUAAUGAAACCCUAUGGGUAAAUGGAACUUCUCUUUCACAAGCUAUGAAACUCUCCUGGAACUCAGAGGCCCUGACAGAUUUAUAUUCAACAAAUUAAUAAACAGAUUGUUAAAUGGAAGGCAAUAGAGAAUAGGAGUUAAAAAUAUAGGUUCUGGAGUCAGACCAUCUGAAAUUAUAUCCUAGCUCCUUCACUUGGUACUCUAGGGCUAAGUAUUUAACUUCUAUACCUCAGUCUCCCCAUCUGUGAAACAGGGAUGGUAACAGUGCCUAUUCUGUCUGGGUUGUUGUGAAGAGACAAUCCAUAUGUCAAUAGCUAAUAAGCAGUUGCUGAUCUUAUUGUGACUAAUCAUGGAUUAGAUUGAAUAGUCAAGAUAUCUUUGUAUUGCCAGCAACUGAACUAGUAGCUUCAAGGGAUACAAAGAUGAGUGGAACAUAUAGUUUCCACCUUAGGAAGUCUAGCUGAGGAAUUAAGGUGUAAAUUUACUGACAGUUUGAAUAACCAGGGUGUUGUAUAGGGAUAUAAAGCCAGAACACCACUGGACACAAUGGCUUAUGCCUGUAAUUCCAGCACUUUGGGAGGCUGAGGCGGGGAGAUCGCUUGAGCCCAAGAGUUCGAGACCAGGCUGGGCAACAUAGUGAGAGCCCAUCUCUACAAAAAAUGCAAAAAUUAGCCAGGCAUGGUGAUGUGUGCUUGUAGUACCAGCUACUCGGGAGGCUGAGGUGGGAGGAUCGCUUAAGCCUGAGAGCUCAAGGCUGCAGUAAGCCAUGUUCACACCACUGCACUCUAGCCUGGGUGACAGAUUUAGACCCUGUCUC